UGGGGAAUAUUGCACAAUGGGCGCAAGCCUGAUGCAGCCAUGCCGCGUGUAUGAAGAAGGCCUUCGGGUUGUAAAGCACUUUCAGCGGGGAGGAAGGCGAUAAGGUUAAUAACCUCAUCGAUUGACGUUACCCGCAGAAGCAGCACCGGCUAACUCCGUGCCAGCAGCCGCGGUAAUACGGAGGGUGCAAGCGUUAAUCGGAAUUACUGGGCGUAAAGCGCACGCAGGCGGUCUGUCAAGUCGGAUGUGAAAUCCCCGGGCUCAACCUGGGAACUGCAUUCGAAACUGGCAGGCUAGAGUCUUGUAGAGGGGGGUAGAAUUCCAGGUGUAGCGGUGAAAUGCGUAGAGAUCUGGAGGAAUACCGGUGGCGAAGGCGGCCCCCUGGACAAAGACUGACGCUCAGGUGCGAAAGCGUGGGGAGCAAACAGG
rnacentral:rRNA from 1 species